rnacentral:rRNA from 1 species
UGGGGAAUAUUGGACAAUGGGCGAAAGCCUGAUCCAGCCAUGCCGCGUGUGUGAAGAAGGUCUUCGGAUUGUAAAGCACUUUAAGUUGGGAGGAAGGGCAGUAAGCGAAUACCUUGCUGUUUUGACGUUACCGACAGAAUAAGCACCGGCUAACUCUGUGCCAGCAGCCGCGGUAAUACAGAGGGUGCAAGCGUUAAUCGGAAUUACUGGGCGUAAAGCGCGCGUAGGUGGUUCGUUAAGUUGAAUGUGAAAGCCCCGGGCUCAACCUGGGAACUGCAUCCAAAACUGGCGAGCUAGAGUAGGGCAGAGGGUGGUGGAAUUUCCUGUGUAGCGGUGAAAUGCGUAGAUAUAGGAAGGAACACCAGUGGCGAAGGCGACCACCUGGGCUCAUACUGACACUGAGAUGCGAAAGCGUAGGGAGCAAACAGG